rnacentral:misc_RNA from 1 species
GCCCUGCAUUCGGGUGUGUCUUGAUGCAAGACUUCCUCAGUGCCCUUGCCAAGCGGCUCAAGCCUAACCCGACUGCCUAUGAGAACUACCGACGGAUCUUCGUCCCCGAAGGCCAACCCCUUGAGUCUGCACCCAGGGAGGCGUUGAGGGUGAAUGUACUCUUCAAGCACAUCCAGAGAAUGCUCUCAGGUGACACUGCUGUGAUUGCUGAGACUGGGG